GCUUUAUUUUAAACUUUGGAAGCCCUCGCUAGAGUACUACAAGCCACAGCUUAAAACUCAAAGGACUUGGUGGUGCUCUACACCCACCUAGAGGAGCCUGUUCUAUAAUCGAUACCCCCCGAUAAACCUCACCUCUUUUUGCUAAUUCAGCCUAUAUACCACCGCCCCCAGCUCACCUCUUAAGAGAAUAACAGUAAGCAAAAUAAUUUUAAAUAAAAAAGUCAGGUCAAGGUGUAGCACAUAAAAAGGAAAGAAAUGGGCUACAUUUUUUAUUUUUAAAAAAUACGGAAUAUUUUAUGAAAUAAAAUACAAAGGAGGAUUUAGAAGUAAAAAGAAAAGAGAGAGUUCUUUUUAAGCCGGCAAUAGAGUGCGC
rnacentral:rRNA from 1 species